AGAGUUUGAUCAUGGCUCAGAACGAACGCUGGCGGCGCGUUUUAAGCAUGCAAGUCGAACGGUAGAGUAGUGCUUGCACUACUUGAGAGUGGCGAACGGGUGAGUAACGCGUAGAUGAUCUGCCUAGAGGUUGGGGAUAGCUCAUGGAAACAUGGGGUAAUACCGAAUAAGCUCAAGUUACCAUGGUGAUUUGAGGAAAAGAGCUUUGGCUUUGCCUUUAGAUGAGUCUGCGUCUGAUUAGCUAGUUGGUGGGGUAAGGGCCUACCAAGGCGACGAUCAGUAGCCGGCCUGAGAGGGUGAGCGGCCACAUUGGGACUGAGACACGGUCCAGACUCCUACGGGAGGCAGCAGUGGGGAAUAUUGCACAAUGGAGGAAACUCUGAUGCAGCAACGCCGCGUGGAGGAUGACGCAUUUCGGUGUGUAAACUCCUUUUAUAUGGGAAGAUAAUGACGGUACCAUAUGAAUAAGCACCGGCUAACUCCGUGCCAGCAGCCGCGGUAAUACGGAGGGUGCAAGCGUUACUCGGAAUCACUGGGCGUAAAGCGCGCGCAGGCGGUCUUUUAAGUUGGAUGUGAAAGCCUAUGGCUCAACCAUAGAACUGCAUCCAAAACUAUUAGACUAGAGUCUGGGAGGGGAAGAUGGAAUUAGUUGUGUAGGGGUAAAAUCCGUAGAGAUAACUAGGAAUACCAAAAGCGAAGGCGAUCUUCUGGAACAGUACUGACGCUGAGGCGCGAAAGCGUGGGGAGCAAACAGGAUUAGAUACCCUGGUAGUCCACGCCCUAAACGAUGAAUGUUAGUCGUCGGAGGCCUAGUGUCUUCGGUGAUGCAGCUAACGCAUUAAACAUUCCGCCUGGGGAGUACGGUCGCAAGAUUAAAACUCAAAGGAAUAGACGGGGACCCGCACAAGUGGUGGAGCAUGUGGUUUAAUUCGAAGAUACGCGAAGAACCUUACCUAGCCUUGACAUAUAUUAGAAUCCGGCAGAGAUGCUGGAGUGCCUUCGGGAGCUUUUAUACAGGUGCUGCACGGCUGUCGUCAGCUCGUGUCGUGAGAUGUUGGGUUAAGUCCCGCAACGAGCGCAACCCUCGUCACUAGUUACUAACGGUUCGGCCGAGGACUCUAGUGAGACUGCCUUCGCAAGGAGGAGGAAGGUGAGGACGACGUCAAGUCAUCAUGGCCCUUACGGCUAGGGCAACACACGUGCUACAAUGGCCAGGACAGUGAGACCGAUACCGCGAGGUGGAGCAAAUCUAUAAACCUGGUCUCAGUUCGGAUUGUAGUCUGCAACUCGACUACAUGAAGCUGGAAUCACUAGUAAUCGUAGAUCAGCUAUGCUACGGUGAAUACGUUCCCGGGUCUUGUACUCACCGCCCGUCACACCAUGGGAGUUGAUUUCACCCGAAGCGGGGAAGCUAAACUGGCUACCCUCCACGGUGGAAUUAGCGACUGGGGUGAAGUCGUAACAAGGUAAC
rnacentral:rRNA from 1 species